ACGUACAUACAAACAUGCAGACACUCAUAAGUGUUUAAUAUAUGUUUGUGUUCAUCCAGGCGACAGAUUCCUGCUUUGAGAUCCCAAACUUCUCACCCACCAUACAGGAGUGCUUUGGGACAACUGGCAUGUGGAUAGAGGAGUGUUUGUAGCCUAUAAUGAUGACAAAGUCUACACCUAUGGCCUUGCACAAAACCACAAUAUAUGGGCCACAGGUGGUGUUGGUGGGGAGCACUCCACUCCUCUAUUCCCAGAAGCCUUUGCUGUUAUACAAUGGAGAGCUGACCUUGUCAGACAACGAGUGGCAAACUAGUGAGGUGGGCCCUGAGCACACACUCCUUCCUCAAGCGCAAAAAACGGCGCACCAGUAGAUUCACAAGAGCAAAGUAUGCAGCUCAGCCAAGCUCUCAUGCUCAAGAGGUUCCAUGAAGCCUGGUAUCUGUGUAAAUCAUACAAAUGCAGACAAAGACUGGGCUGAGUUAGGCAAAGCUUGUCCUCAUCCACAUGGAGGUAGAGCUGGCCAUCAGGUCUACCGCAUGAGUGGCAACGUAGGCAUGGUCAUGUCACUGCAGAGCAUCCAUGUACGUGCAAACUAACUGAUAAUUAACACUGUUUAGAGGAUGUUCUGAUCAUUCAUGCACAUUUCAUUUUUCUCCCGGUCAUUUCAGGGAAUAGAAGAUAGGAAUUUACUGGCAGGCCAUUUGGCCAUGUUUUUGGAUGAAUACAACCUUGCUCAGGACCUUUAUCUUUCCUCAAGCUGCCCAAUUGCUGCUCUGGAGGUAACAAAACACAACUUUUGUAAACUUUUUGAAGUAGCCAAAGUUUGUCUUG
rnacentral:lncRNA from 1 species